AGAGAAAAAAAAAAAGAACGAGAGAAAAAAAAAGAGGAGAGAGAAAAAGGUACAAGGAUAUUUUGGUCAGUUUGCUAAAAAAUCGGACCGAAUCUGCAAAAACGAAAAAGAUGGCCCACUUUUGCAAAAGCCCAAAACUAGUGGAUUUUUUAUGCAAAUUGGCCAUUAUUAUUUUAGUCAGCUUUAAAAAGUAGUGUAGUUUAACUAUAAAAAAAUAAUUUUUUUUUGAAGGCUUACAAAUCUUAUGCGUUUGGUUCGGAUACAAGUAAAAACUGCUUAUUUCAGAGAUAGAUACAAGUUCAAGUAUAAGUAGGAACGAGACAAAUUUUAUAUUUGGAUGAAAAUUGGGUAGUUUCUAAGAAUAAGAUAAAUAGUGUUUGAAUGGUUAGAUGGGAAGAAAGGGAAUAAGAGUUAUAAUUUUAAAUUAAAAUUAUUUUAUCUAAUUAAUUAAUAUUAAAAUAUUACUUAAAAAUAAUUUAAUAAAUUAAUAAAUUUAUUAGCUACGAAUAUUAUAUAAGAUAAUAAAAACAUAUUAAUUAAUUAAUUAAAUAUAAAAAAUAAUUUAACUUUUUAAUUAGUUAGUAAAUUAUUUUACCUAGAUAACCAGUAACAAAAAAAUUAAUUAGAUUAAUAGAAAUAUUAUUAGUUUAUGGAUAAAUACUUUAACUUAUUAAUAAUUAAUUAUAAAUAAUAAAUAAAUAAAUUAUUUUAUUAUUUAAGUAAUAAAUAAUAGUUUGAAUAUAUUAAUUAGGUUAAUUAAUGAUUUAAUACUAUAAUUAAAGUUAAAUUUAAACUUUAAUUAACCUUGUUCCUAUCUCGGAACAAACUUGUUCCAAGAAAAAAAAUGAAAAAUGAUGAAACAAUAGUUCUAGCCUUAUACCAACGUAUUUUAAAAAUUUAAAAAUUUCUGUUCUCGAGUACUAAAUACAGUGUUUGAAAAUAAAAGGUGGAAUAAGGAGGGCUUUUUUAUAAAAUGAUCUUCUACAAACUCGAAAUUGGCAAAAUGAUCUUGUCAAAAUUUUAUUUGUUAAAUUAGUCCUCCUUUCGCCACAUGGGGGCCACGUUAGGGAUUUUUUACAAAGACGGUGAAUUGUUCACCGUCUUUAUAAAAUUUAUUGUGAAGAUGGUGAACUAUUAGUAUAAAUUUUUAUUCUG
rnacentral:lncRNA from 1 species